rnacentral:rRNA from 1 species
UACAGAGGGUGCAAGCGUUGCUCGGAAUCAUUGGGCGUAAAGGGUAGGUAGGUGGUCUUAUUUGUCUGGGGUGAAAGCCUUGAGCUUAACUCAAGAAGUGCCUCGGAAACGGUAAGACUUAGAGUCUCGGAGAGGGUCGUGGAAUUCCCGGUGUAGCGGUGAAAUGCGUAGAGAUCGGGAGGAACACCAGCGGCGAAGGCGGCGACCUGGACGAGCACUGACACUCAACUACGAAAGCGUGGGGAGCAAACAG